UACAGAGGUCUCGAGCGUUAGGCGGAAUCACUGGGCUUAAAGCGUGUGUAGGCGGAUCGUUAAGUGCCUUGUGAAAUCCCACGGCUCAACUGUGGAACGGCUGGGCAUACUGGCGGUCUUGAGCCAUCUAGGGGCGACUGGAACAAACGGUGGAGCGGUGAAAUGCGUAGAUAUCGUUUGGAACGCCAAUGGUGAAAACAGGUCGCUGGGGAUGAGCUGACGCUGAGACACGAAAGCCAGGGGAGCAAACGGG
rnacentral:rRNA from 1 species